CUGAGGGAAGAGAAGAGUGUCGAUAAGCGUGUACGCUGCUUUACAGCACAGGGGUGAGAGGAAAACGGAGAAUCAUUAAUCCACCUGGUAGUUGAGAAGAGGAAAACAAAAAACUCCUGGAACAAGGAAACGCAGAGAAAAAUAAACUUCUGGAGUCUAAGUACCAUUGGCUGCCCCCCCCAUGACAGAGACAGACACAGAAAAGAACACAGUUGUACUGCUGCUGGCAGCUCCCUGGGGGGUCUGGAAAACAGUGGGACCAAAAACAUAACUACUUCCAUUUCAAGAUUACCUCCGAGGCUCUGCUGGCUGCCCUGGACGCCCCAGACAGCACCUGGCCGAGCUGCUGCUCAUCUUCAGCCUGCCGCUCCGGUGCGUUUGCAGCCACACAUGUUCCUGUCGGUAGCUGCGGGGGACGCUGUGUCCACCUCACCUGUAACACUGCUUUGCUGAAGUGACCUCACUUAGCCUUUCAGCUGGGGACCAGAAGCAUUGUGGUAAGCAGACUGCCUGUGUCUGAGGACCAGUCAGCAGUUUUAAAAAAAAAAAA